CGGGACGGGGUGGAGUAAUGUCUGGGAAACUGCCUGAUGGAGGGGGAUAACUACUGGAAACGGUAGCUAAUACCGCAUAACGUCGCAAGACCAAAGAGGGGACUCGGGCCUCUUGCCAUCGGAUGUGCCCAGAUGGGAUUAGCUAGUAGGUGGGGUAACGGCUCACCUAGGCGACGAUCCCUAGCUGGUCUGAGAGGAUGACCAGCCACACUGGAACUGAGACACGGUCCAG
rnacentral:rRNA from 1 species